AGUGAACGCUGGCGGUAGGCCUAACACAUGCAAGUCGAACGGCAGCACAGUAAGAGCUUGCUCUUACGGGUGGCGAGUGGCGGACGGGUGAGGAAUACAUCUGAAUCUACUUUUUCGUGGGGGAUAACGUAGGGAAACUUACGCUAAUACCGCAUACGACCUACGGGUGAAAGCAGGGGAUCUUCGGACCUUGCGCGAUUGAAUGAGCCGAUGUCGGAUUAGCUAGUUGGCGGGGUAAAGGCCCACCAGGGCGACGAUCCGUAGCUGGUCUGAGAGGAUGAUCAGCCACACUGGAACUGAGACACGGUCCAGACUCCUACGGGAGGCAGCAGUGGGGAAUAUUGGACAAUGGGCGCAAGCCUGAUCCAGCCAUACCGCGUGGGUGAAGAAGGCCUUCGGGUUGUAAAGCCCUUUUGUUGGGAAAGAAAAGCAGCAGGUUAAUACCCCGCUGUUCUGACGGUACCCAAAGAAUAAGCACCGGCUAACUUCGUG
rnacentral:rRNA from 1 species